GCGGGUGUAGCUCAAUGGUAGAGCCCCAGCCUUCCAAGCUGGUUAUGCGGGUUCGAUUCCCGUCACCCGCUCCA
rnacentral:tRNA from 11 species